GGUUGAUCCUGCCAGUAGUCAUAUGCUUGUCUUAAAGACUAAGCCAUGCAUGUCUAAGUAUAAACUUGUAUACGGUGAGACUGCGAAUGGCUCAUUAAAACAGUUAUAGUUUAUUUGCUAGAGUAUAUAUGGAUAACCGUAGUAAUUCUAGAGCUAAUACAUGCUGAUACGCUGUGCGUAGUAUUUAUUAGAGAAAUGCCAACGGGAGAGAUCCUGUGGAGGAAUCAUAAUAACUUAGCGGACUUCUUCGGAAGUGAAGCAUUCAAGUUUCUGCCCUAUCAGCUUUCGAUGG
rnacentral:rRNA from 1 species